UACGUAGGGCGCAAGCGUUGUCCGGAAUUAUUGGGCGUAAAGAGCUCGUAGGCGGCCUGUUGCGUCUGCUGUGAAAUCCCGGGGCUCAACCCCGGGCGUGCAGUGGAUACGGGCUGGCUGGAGGCAGGCAGGGGAGAACGGAAUUCCUGGUGUAGCGGUGAAAUGCGCAGAUAUCAGGAGGAACACCGGUGGCGAAGGCGGUUCUCUGGGCCUGUACUGACGCUGAGGAGCGAAAGCGUGGGGAGCGAACAGG
rnacentral:rRNA from 1 species